UACGGGGGGGGCAAGCGUUGUCCGGAAUUAUUGGGCGUAAAGAGCUCGUAGGCGGUUUGUCGCGUCUGCUGUGAAAACCCGAGGCUCAACCUCGGGCCUGCAGUGGGUACGGGCAGACUAGAGUGCGGUAGGGGAGAUUGGAAUUCCUGGUCGUAGCGGUGGAAUGCGCAGAUAUCAGGAGGAACACCGAUGGCGAAGGCAGGUCUCUGGGCUGACACUGACGCUCAUGCACGGAAAGCCAGGGGAGCGAACCGGG
rnacentral:rRNA from 1 species